rnacentral:rRNA from 1 species
UACGUAGGGCGCAAGCGUUGUCCGGAAUUAUUGGGCGUAAAGAGCUCGUAGGCGGCUUGUCACGUCGGGUGUGAAAGCCCGGGGCUUAACCCCGGUUCUGCUUCCGGUACGGGCAUGCUGGAGUGUGGCAGGGGAGACUGGAAUUCCUGGUGUAGCGGUGGAAUGCGCAGAUAUCAGGAGGAACACCGGUGGCGAAGGCGGGUCUCUGGGCCAUUACUGACGCUGAGGAGCGAAAGCGUGGGGAGCGAACAGG